CUCAGUGAUAUUUAUUUAUUGGCGGUCCUGUUCGUCGUGCUGCAGCCCCGGAGACUCCGUCGGAUGCCAAAUCCGGUGUUCUUGCUGAUCAGGAAUGUCUCACCGUGCGUGAUUCGGUAAAAUUUUUCGCUAUUGGUGUUCUUCAACUUGAAGGUGGAUGCCGUCCCAGGAGAAGAAUCGUAAAUAGGAUAUUGAUUACCAGCUGAGACGUGCUAGCCCGCAGAUGACGAUCGACAGUGACCCAAUCUAUCCCUCGAUCAAUUCGGUCAACAUGAUGGCAAGCCGAUCGAAUUAGCGUCAUAAAUCCGCAAAACCCGGAACCGAUUUUAAUUUUUGCUACAAGAACGUGUUCCCUACCAUCACUAGUCACAGUCAGAUGCUUGAUCCGACAAGCCCAGCCGCAGCAGCAGCUCAAUGAGUUAUCGAUUGUCACAGUCCUGAAAUAUCAGCGAACCUGCUCCGUCAGCAGGAGCGCAAAAGGAUCUAGCUUCGCUCGCCACCUAUCGGAGGAUCACGAUGAUUUCAACAAUAAUAAUUUGGCUUAGGAUCGUUUGGCCUAAUAGUCGUUUGACUUGAAAAUUGUUUGGCCUAAUAGUCGUUUGACCUAAUGGUCAUUUACUCGUAGCCGCAUCAUAUAAUGAAGAUAAGGCACACUUCAAAUCACAAG